rnacentral:rRNA from 1 species
GAUGAACGCUGGCGGCGUGCCUAAUACAUGCAAGUCGAACGAGGUGCUUUUGUAGCAAUACGAGAGUAUCCUAGUGGCGAACGGGUGAGUAACGCGUUGGUGACCUACCCCAAAGUGUGGGAUAACAGUCCGAAAGGAUUGCUAAUACCGCAUGUGGUCUUCGGGUUUAGAAACUGAUGACUAAAGGAGCAAUUCGCUUUGGGAGGGACCUGCGUCCCAUCAGCUAGUUGGUGAGGUAAAUGGCUCA